GUCCCAGUGGCCGAGUGGUUAAGGCGAUGCCCUGCUAUUAAUCAGAAUAGCAAUUAGGCAUUGGGCUAUGCCUUCGCAGGUUCGAAUCCUGUCUGUGACG
rnacentral:tRNA from 1 species